CGGUGUUUAACUGGCGUGAUGUGGGACGUCCUACCGGUGGGCUUAGCCUCGCGAGGGGCGGCCCAACUAAUAUCCCGUCGCGGUGCUCUUUACUGAGUGUCGAGUCGGGCCGGUACGUUUACUUUGAACAAAUUAGAGUGCUUAAAGCAGGCUAUCCUCGCCUGAAUACUGCGUGCAUGGAAUAAUGGAAUAGGACCUCGGUUCUAUUUUGUUGGUUUUCGGAACCCCGAGGUAAUGAUUAAUAGGGACAGAUGGGGGCAUUCGUAUUGCGACGUUAGAGGUGAAAUUCUUGGAUCGUCGCAAGACGGACAGAAGCGAAAGCAUUUGCCAAAAAUGUUUUCAUUAAUCAAGAACGAAAGUUAGAGGUUCGAAGGCGAUCAGAUACCGCCCUAGUUCUAACCAUAAACGAUGCCAGCUAGCGAUCCGCCGAAGUUCCUCCGAUGACUCGGCGGGCAGCUUCCGGGAAACCAAAGCUUUUGGGUUCCGGGGGAAGUAUGGUUGCAAAGCUGAAACUUAAAGGAAUUGACGGAAGGGCACCACCAGGAGUGGAGCCUGCGGCUUAAUUUGACUCAACACGGGAAACCUCACCAGGCCCAGACACCGGAAGGAUUGACAGAUUGAUAGCUCUUUCUUGAUUCGGUGGGUGGUGGUGCAUGGCCCGUUCUUAGUUGGUGGAGCGAUUUGUCUGGUUAAUUCCGAUAACGAACGAGACUCUAGCCUGCUAAAUAGGCGUACCUUAUGGUAUCGCGAAGGCCCCCGGCUUCGGCCGGUGGGUUUUUACUACCAACGUACAAACAAAUCUUCUUAGAGGGCACAGGCGG
rnacentral:rRNA from 1 species